CCUACGGGAGGCAGCAGUGAGGAAUAUUGGUCAAUGGGCGGGAGCCUGAACCAGCCAAGUCGCGUGAGGGAAGACGGUCCUAUGGAUUGUAAACCUCUUUAGGCGGGGAGCAAAGCCGGGCACGUGUGCCCGGAGGGAGAGUCCCCGCAGAAUAAGAAUCGGCUAACUCCGUGCCAGCAGCCGCGGUAAUACGGAGGAUGCGAGCGUUAUCCGAAUUUAUGGGGUUUAAAGGGUGCGUGUGCGGAUUUUUAAGUCAGCGGUAAAAUGUCCGGGUUCAACCCGGACCGGCCGUUGAAACUGGGGAUCUUGAGUGGGCGAGAGGUAUGCGGAAUGCGUGGUGUAGCGGUGAAAUGCAUAGAUAUCACGCAGAACUCCGAUUGCGAAGGCAGCAUACCGGCGCCCGACUGACGCUGAGGCACGAAAGCGUGGGGAUCGAACAGGAUUAGAUACCCCAGUAGUC
rnacentral:rRNA from 1 species